rnacentral:lncRNA from 1 species
AAGAAACAAACAAAAAAAGGGUUAUUUUUCAAUUUAAUCCAGACUGGGCCAAUUUUCUUGGCCCAACUGCCUUGUUUCCGUCCCAACCCAAUUCACAGCCCAAUACUCGCCUGGUCCAAUGCCCUUCCCCCCACAUUAAUACAACUAUAGUCCCUUCCUCUCAUCAGACCUUCCCUCUAGACAUUAGAGACAAAAAAAUCAGAUCCCCCCCUUUCCCAUAAACCUAACGCCGCUCCCUCUGAUUUUUUUAAGCUCUAACCAGCAGCCUUCUCUAAACAAGCAACAAAAGAGAUAAGACCCCUUCCAACAAGAAAAACUGGGUAGCUUUCCCUUCUUCUUCUCCACUCCCUCACUCGCACCAGUCGUCCUCCAUUUCCCCGUCAUCUCCAAACACCCUCUCCACUUCUCGCUAGUUUUCAGAGUAAAGAACUAUGGUUUAAGACGGAAAAAAAAAAGAAUUCUCGUGCUCAACAUCUGCAUCAAUAGUACAAAUAGUUUCUCUACCAUUUUCGGGUUUGAAAAGCCGAAUUCAUCUAAAAAUUGUUGUUGUCGGCGACUGUUGCAUAGCUGAGCUCCAUCCUUACCGUUUUUCAGCCUCUAUUUGGCCUUUCCUUACUACUUUUCUUGCUUAAGAGGUAAACUCAGAAGAACCCCUUUGUAUUUAGUUAUAUUUAGUGAUGAAUGGAUCUCUGUUUCUUGUUUGAAGUCAUGUUUUGAACCUUUUAUUUUUAUUUUUAUGCAAUUAGAGGAAAUUGGAGUUUCUUUAAGCUAUAUAUUUUGAUGAUCGGCUGCUUCGACAUAUAAUUAAACAGUUGGUUUAGUUCCUUUUUAUCUUUCCUUUUAGUCUCAUGAGCAUGUUUUGAUUCCUGGUUGAGAAUGUUCUGUACGGUCAUGUGACGGUGUAUGUGUAGUGUGCUUAAUUUUAUAAAUAGUGUUAGUGCUUCUUGAUCUUGCGGAUGUUGUGAUGAAGGUUUGGCACAAGCUGUAAGCAAUGAAGUUCGUCAUGUAUUCUGCUCUAUAUCAAAGCUCACCUUGUGAUAUGGUCUUGUUUACUGUUUUUUCUUAGAAAUGUUAUCCAUAGGCUUGUGGUAUCGAUAGUUUCUUUGGUGUCAUGUAUCAUUAACUUACAGUUGGUCGUUAUUGAUGGUUAAACAAGAAACAAGAAUCUCAAAAAAAUGUUUUGAUCUUUGUAUAAGAUUGAUGUUGUUAUUUCUUGUGGUAUGUUUUUGUUUGAACCUUACUAAGCAUGUCCUAUAGUGGGAGUUCUUGAUAAUAAUCAUUCUUAUAGUUUAUGUCACGACCCCGUUUCUCCCUCCAUGAACCAUCGUGACGACACCUAGUCUCUAUGACAAGGUAAGCCUAUUUUGUGGAAGAAAACCAAAAUUUACGAAAGUAAAACAAUUUAAAACAGAAAUAAAGUAGUAAUAGUGUUUAAAUGUGCCGCUCGGCUUACAACAUGUUUAACUCUAAUUAUCAAUACAUAAUUCCAAGACCCGGAAAUCCACGAAUCACAAGCUUAGAUUCAAUACUACAUAGCUCUAACUCUGGAAUGUCUAAUAAGAGUAGAAAAGUAUAGAAGGGUUAAAUACUAAAAACAGGAAUAGAAAGGGACUUCUCGGUCUGCAGACGUGGAAGAUGUACCUCAAAGUCUCUAGAGCAGUCGUCUCCUCAAGGAUGAUAGGCCUGAGUAGCAGUACUUGGAUCUACAUAUGAAAAACAUGCGUAGAAGGGGCAUGAGUACACCACAACAGUACUCAGUAAGUGUCAAGCCUAACCUCGGUUGGGUAGUGACGAGGAAGGUUAGGGCCCUACUGAGAUUAAAUAAAUAUAAAGAUGACAGGAUAAGAUAAGCAGCACAAUUGAGAAUCUACAGUAAGAAUCUAUACAUGAUAAUAAGAGUACUAUAACGGAAAACAGAGAUGAAGGCAAACCACAAGGAAGUAACUAGGGAUCUCUUAGUAUCCCGAGGAUCUCUUAGUACCCUCAACAUAUGCUAGGGAUCUCUUGGUAUCCCGAGGAUCUCUUGGUAUCCUCAAUAUAUGCUAGGGAUCUCUUGGUAUCCCGAGGAUCUCUCGGUAUCCUCAAUAUAUGCUAGGGAUCUCUAGGUAUACUGAGGAUCUCUCGGUAUCCUCAAUGUAUGAUAGGGAUCUCUUGGUAUCCCGAGGAUAUCUUGGUAUCCUCAAUGUACGUGCUGGGGAUCUCUCGGUAUCCUGCACUUUAGCUCAAAUCGUAAAUGCAUAUAGGAGAUCUCCCAGGAUGUCGUCCCGUAGUCCCAAAGUAAAACACACAACAAUGGCACAAGGAGUACUCAAACUAAACUCAACUUCAUAACGAGGUAACACAGANNNNNNNNNNNNNNNNNNNNNNNNNAAUAGAAAGGGAAAAUACAAUUAAAAUUACUUAAUGAAAAUCUAAUUUUCAACAAUUAGAACAAGUACGCACUCGUCACCUCACGUACAAGGUAUUUCAAUAAUCACAAUACCAAUCCUAAGGGGAAAGUCCCCCACACAAGGUUAGACAAGCCACUUAUCUCAAACCGGCUCAAAAUCAACCUGACACCAUGUCUUUGCCACGAGUACUCGACUCCAAAUGGCCAAAUCUAUUCAAUUCAAUUGCAUAAUGUAAAUAACACUUCAAGUAACUGAUUCUACAAUUAAAUUCUAACCUAAUAGCGAAAUUAUGUAAAAUGACCAAAACAGCCAUCUGACCCACAUCUCGGAAUUGGGUAAAAUUUAUAGUUUCAGAAUCCUCACACUCUCACGAGUCUAACCAUACCAAAACUAUCCAAAUCCUAUGUCAAAUCCCCAAUCAAAACACAAUUUCUUGGUCUAAGAAGUUUUCCCCAAUUUUCAUACAAAUUCCGAAAUUAAAGGAUGAAUUCAUGUUUAGAUUAAUGGGUUACAAGCAAAAAGGAGUCUAAAAUCGUUACCCUAUCGAUAUUUCUGAAAAUCCCUCAAAAUCUCGCUCAAAUCCCAGCUCUCAAGCUUAAGUUUUGAUAAAAAUGGCUAAACCCUUGAUUUUGAAAUCUUAUAUCUGCCCAGGCGCGUUCUCCUUUAUGAACAUGAGGCUACUAUCGCGAACGCGAUGCACAAAAGUCCUGCUGGCCAAAUUUCUCUUUCGCGAACGCGUAGCUUACAUGGGCAGACCCUAUGCGAACGCGAGGACCAUGUCGCGAACGUGAAGACCAACGGGUCCUUACCUUCGCGAACGCAGGACAGCAUCGCGAACGCGAAGCACAUUUCAGCUGCUUCACCCAGAUGCUCUACGCGAACGCGAGACCCUCUCGCGAACGCAAUGAAUGUUUUCUCUACAACACAACAGCAGAAAAUCUGUUGUCUUUCCAAGUCCAAAAGUGGUCUGUUGAGGAUCUGAAACACCCCCGAGGCCCCGGGACCUCAACCAAACCUUCCAACCAAUUCUAAAAUAUCAUUCAAACUUUUUCCAACCUUCGGAAGGCUCAAAACAACAUCAAAACACCUAUUUUUCAUCGGAUUCAAGCCUAAGAAUUCCAAAAACUCUAAAAAUACGUUUUCGAUCAAAAAGUCUAUCAAACCUCGUCUGAAUGACCUGAAAUUUUGCACGCAAGUCACAUUAAACACUACGGAGCUACUCCAACUUCCGAAAUUCCAUUCCGACCCUUGGAUCAAAAUCUCACUAUCGAACCGGAAACUUCAAAAAUUCAACUUUCGACAUUUCAAGCCUAAAUUAGCUACGGACCUCCAAAACAUAAUCUGGACACGCUCCUAACCCCGAAAUCACCCAACGGAGCUAACGGAACCAUCAGAUUUCCAUUCUGAGGCCGUCUUCACACUGUUCUGACUACGGCUAACUUUCCAACACUUAAGCUCUUAUUUACGGACUAAGUGUCCCAUAACUCUCCGAAACUCAAAACCGAACAUCCCAGCAAAUCAAAAUAGCAGAAAUAAACUUGGGAAAAGCAGUUAAUAGGGGAUCAGGGCGUUAAUUCUUAAGACGACCGGCCGGGUCGUCACAUGAAAUAGUGAAAAGAUGAGGGUAACGGCUGCACAUAUCCUGCUCGGUCUCCCAGGUCGCCUCCUUGACCGGCUGGCCCCGCCACUGAACCUUUACCGAAGCAAUGUUCUUUGACCUCAGCUUUCUAACCUGCCUGUCCAAUAUUGUCACUGGCUCCUCAACAUAAGAUAGAUCGUUGUCCAACUAGACUGAACUAAAAUCCAACAUGUGCGAUGGAUCACCGUGAUACCUCCGGAGCAUCGAAACAUGGAAUACCGGAUGAACUCCGGCCAAGCUGGGAGGUAAGGCAAGCUCAUAAGCAACCUCCCCAACACGCCUCAAUAUCUUAAAAGGGCCAAUAAAUCUCGAACAUAACUUUCCUUUCUUCCCGAAUCUCAUAACGCCCUUCAUAGGCGAAACCCGAAGCAGAACCCGGUCUCCAACCAUAUAGCAAACAUCACGAACCUUUCGGUCCGCAUAACUAUUAUGUCUGGACUGGGUUGUACGGAGUCUAUCCUGAAUCACCUUAACCUUCUCGAAAGCAUCCUAAACCAAGUUUGUGCCCAAUAGUCUAGCCUCACCCGGCUCACACCAGCCACCGGGGAUCUACACCCCUACCAUAUAAUGCCUCAUACGGUGGCAUCUGAAUGCUGGACUAAUAGUUGUUGUUGUAAGCAAACUCCGCCAAUAGCAAGAACUGAUCCCAAGACCCUCCAAACUCAAUCACACAUGUACGGAGCAUAUCCUUAAGAAUCUGAAUAGUGCGCUCAGACUGUCCAUUCAUUUGAGGGUGAAAUGUUAUACUCAACUCCACCCGAGUACCCAACUCAUGCUGAACGUCCCUCUCGAACCGUGAUGUGAACUAAGUACCUCUAUCUGAAAUGAUGGACACUGGAAUACCUUGCAGAUGAACAAUCUCUCGGAUAUAAAUCUCCGCCAACCGCUCUGAGGAAUAAGUAGUACACAUAGGAAUGAAAUGAUCUGAUUUUGUAUCCGAUCCACAAUCACCCAAAUAGCAUCAAACUUCCUCAAAGUCUGUGAGAGACCAACUACAAAGUCCAUGGUGAUUCGCUCCCACUUCUACUCCGGAAUAUCUAUCUACUGAAGCAACUCACCUGGUCUCUGGUGCUCAUACUUCACCUGCUGACAGUUGAGACACCGGGCUAUGAAUCCGACUAUAUCUUUCUUCAUCCGCCUCCACCAAUAGUGUUGCCUCAAAUCCUGAUACAUCUUUAUGGUACCCGGAUGGAUGGAAUACCACGAACUAUGGGCCUCCUAUAGAAUCAACUCUCGCAGCCCAUCAACAUUGGGUACACAAAUUCGACCUUGCAUCUUCAAUACCCCAUCAUCACCAGUAGUCACAUCUCUGGCAUCAUUGUGCUGAACCUUGUCCUUGAGGACAAGCAAAUGAGGGUCAUCAUACUGUCGCUCCCUAAUACGAUCAAAUAAGGAAGACCGAGAAAUCACGCAAGCUAGAACCCCACUGGGCUCUAAAAGAUCAAAUCUCACAAACUGGCUAGCUAAGGCCUAAACAUCCAUCGCCAUAGGCCUCUCCGAUGCUGGUAAAUAUGCCAAACUCCCUAAACUCUCCGCCCGGUGACUCAAAGCAUCAUCCACUACAUUGGCCUUGCCCGGGUGAUACAAAUGGUGAUAUCAUAGUCCUUCAGCAACUCUAACUACCUCUUCUGGCGCAAAUUUAGAUCCUUUUUCUUGAACAGGUGUUGCAAGCUCCAAUGGUCAGUUUAAAUCUCACAAGGCACCCUGUAUAAGUAAUGGCGCCAAAUCUUCAAGGCGUGAACAAUGGCAGCUAACUCAAAGUCGUGAACAGGGUAGUUCUUCUCAUGUAUCUUCAAUUGUCUGGAUGCAUAGACAAUCACCCUACCAUCCUGCAUCAACACCGCUCCGAGGCCAACCCUCGAGGCAUCACAAUAAACCGUAUAAGACCCCGAACAUGGAGGCAGUAUCAAAAUUGGGGCUGUGGUCAAAGCUGUCUUGAGCUUCUGAAAACUCGCCUCACACUCCUCCGUCCACUGGAACGGAGCACCCUUCCAGGUCAACCUGUCAUAGGGGCUGCAAUCGAUGAAAACCCCUCCACAAAAUGACAAUAGUAGCCCGAAAAACUAAGGAUACUGUGGAUCUCGAUAGUUGUGGAUGGUCUGGGCCAACUCUACACGGCCUCUAUCUUCUUCGGAUCCACCUAAAUACCCUCACUCGAUACCACGUGGCCUAGGAAUGCCACUAAAUCCAACCAAAACUCACAUUCCGAGAACUUAGAAUAUAACUUCUUCUCUCUCAGAGUCUGAAGCACAGUCCUCAGGUGUUUCUCAUGAUCUUUCCGACUCCGGGAAUACACUAGAAUAUUAUCAAUAAAGACAAUGACGAACGAGUCAAGAUACGGUCGGAACACACUGUGCAUCAAAUGCAUNNNNNNNNNNNNNNNNNNNNNNNNNUAUCCCCUGUGUGCCUUGAAGCUGGUCAAACUGAUCAUCAAUACAAGGCAAAGGAUAACGGUUCUUUACUGUAACCUUAUUCAACUGGCGGUAAUCAAUGCACAUAUGCAUGGAACCAUCUUUCUUUUUCACAAACAAGACAGGAGCACCCCAAGGUGAUACAUUGGGCCGAACAAAACUCUUAUCAAGUAAUUCCUGUAACUGAUCCUUCAACUCAGGAGGAGUCGUACGAUAUGGGGGAAUAGAAAUGGGCUGAGUGCCCGGCAACAGAUCAAUGCCAAAAUCAAUAUCUCUAUUAGGCGGCAUGCCCGGAAGAUCAGCUGGAAACACAUUGGGAAAAUCCCAUACUACUGGGACUGAAUCAACUGAAGGGGUAUCAACACUGACAUCUCUCAUAUAAGCUAAGUACGCAUCACACCCCUUCUCAACCAUACGCUAAGCUUUAAGAAAACAAAUAACUCUACUGGGAGUGUGAUCUAAAGUACCCCUCCACUCAACACGAUGUACACCUAGAAUAGCCAGCAUCACGGUUUUGGCAUGACAAUCAAGAAUAGCAUAAUGGGCUGACAACCAGUCCAUGCCUAAGAUAAUAUCAAAAAUCUACCAUGUUGAGCAAUAAUAAAUUGACUCUGGUCUCAUAACCACUAAGCGCAACCAAACACAACCGAUAAAUGCAGUCCAUAACAAGAGAAUCUCCCACAGGAGUAGAAACAUAAAUAGAGGAACUCAAAGAAUCCCGAGGUACACCCAAACACAGAACAAAAUAAGAAGACACUUAAGGAUAGGCGGAGCCUAGAUUGAAUAAAACCGAUGCAUCUUUAUGACAAACCAGGAUAAUACCUGUGAUGAUAGAAUCGGAGGCGACAGCCUCAGUACGGGCAGGAAGGGCAUAAUAUGUGGCAUGUCCUUCCCCUCUAGCUGGCUGGGCAGGUGGGGUAGUAACUGGUGCAGUGAACAUAGCCUGAGAACUCUUGGAGCAUAUUGUGGCUGAGAAGUCUGUGGAGGUGCACUCCUUCCAAGUCUAGGGCAAUCCCUCACAACAUGGCGUGUGUUACCACACUUAAAACAAGAUCUGGGAGGACGUGGCAGUGAAAACUAUGCGGUAUGGGUACUCCAAGACCCUUGAACACCUGAAACACUGUGUGAAUUCCGAGAUGCAAACUAAGCUGGCUAACACACAAAACCUCUACCAUGCCAUACUCUUCCUCCAAAAUAAGGAUCAGUGGGUCUCUCCAAUCCACAAGGUCUCCUCACUUCCCUAUAUUCUCUCUCCUGACCUCGUCUGUCCUCUCUCUACUGGACCCACUGUCUUCUACUUGGCGAGAGGUCCUCACCACCCGCUGAACUAGGACCACAGGAUGUGUCGCUAUGAUGCCCAAAAUCCGACCAAUGCAAACUCGUCACUCUGGAGUGGGGGCGGUGGGAGUCUGGGUCCCUUCUCCGAUUUGUGAAGUCGUUGGUACAACCUGAAUCAACCCCGCCUGAACUAACGUACCAAACAUGCUCAGGAACUGUGCUAAUGUCUCCUGAAGUGCUGGAGCAGUAGUAGUAGGCACAUCUGGUGCCUGGGCUCUAGCUGGAACUCCUGGUGGCUCCUCGGUGGCAGCUCGCGCGGGUGCUCUAGUUACACCACGUGCGCAUCCUCGGCCCCUACCUCGGCCUCGACCUCUGACGGCUCUCGCAAGGGGCGCGGGUGCUUGAUCAUCUUUGGUUGCACCUAUCCUCACCAUAUGUGAGAGAAUAGAAGACAGAAGUUUAGAAUUGUGAUGUCAAAAUAUCGCACGACAAGGAAUCAAAUGAAGUGGAAAUUUUCCUAACAGUUACAUAGCCUCUCGUAGACAAGUACAGACGUCUCUGUACUGAUCAGCGAGACUCUAAUAAACUGGCUUGUGAUCCAUGACUCCUAUGAACCUAGAGCUCUAAUACCAACUUGUCACGACCCUGGUUCGCCCUUCGUGAACCAUCGUGACGGCACCUAGUCUGUACGACUAGGUAAGCCUAUUUUGCGGAAGAAAACCAAAAUUUGCGGAAGUAAAACAAUUUAAAAAAGAAAUAAAGUAGUGACAGUGUGUAAUGAGCCGCUCAUCUUACACCAUGUUUAACUACCAAUACCAAUUCAUAAAUCCAAUACCCGGAAACCCACGAAUCACAAGCUAAGAUUCAAUACUACAUAGCUCUAACUCCGGAAUAUCUAAUAAGAGCAGGAAAGUACUGAAGGGCUAAAUACUAAAAGCAGGAAUAGAAAGGGACUUCUCGGUCUACGGACGUGGCAAAUGUAUCUCGAAGUCUCUAAAGCAGUCGUCUCCUCAAGGAUGAUAGGCCUGAGUAGCGCUACCUGGAUCUGCACAUGAAAAACAUGCACAGAAGGGGCAUGAGUACACCACAGCGGUACUCAGUAGGUGCCAAGCCUAACCUCGGUUGGUAGUGACGAGGAAUGUCAAGGCCCUACUAAGAUUAAAUAAAUAUAAAGAUGAUAGGAUAAGAUAAGCAGUACAAUUGAGAAUCUACAGUAAGAAUCUAUACAGGAUAAUAAGAGUACAAUAAUGGAAAACAGAGAUGAAGGCAAACCACAAGGAAGUAACCGGGGAUCACUCAGUAUCCCGAGAUCUCUUAGAACCCUCAAUAUAUGCCAGGGAUCUCUUGGUAUCCCGAGGAUCUCUCGGUAUCCUCAAUAUAUACUAGGGAUCUCUUGGUAUCCCGAGGAUCUCUCGGUAUCCUCAAUAUACUCUAGGGAUCUCUUGGUAUCCGGAGGAUCUCUUGGUAUUAUCAAUGUAUGAUAUGGAUCUCUUGGUAUUCCGAGGAUCUCUUGGUAUCCUCAGUGUAUUAUAGGGAUCUCUUGGUAUCCCGAGGAUCUCUUGGUAUCCUCAAUGUACAUACUAGGGAUCUCUUGGUAUCCCGCACUUCAGCUCAAAUCGUAAAUGCGUACAGGGGAUCUCCCAGGAUGCCGUCUCAUAGUCCCAAAGUAAAACACACAACAAUAGCACAAGGAGUACUCAAAUAAACUCAACUUCAUAACGAGGUAACACAGACAAUUCUAACCUAACAUGCUUCACGUAAUACAAAUAAGGCAGUUAAAGCAAUUAAGUCAAUUAGACAUGUUCUCUAACUAACAACAAAUUUAAAAGUGCAAGUAGAAUAAAUAGAAAGGGAAAACACAAUUAAAGUUACUUAAUGAAAACAGGAUUUUCAACAAUUAGCAUAAGUACGCACUCGUCACCUCACGUACAAGGCAUUUCAAUUAUCACAAUACCAAUCCUAAGGGGAAAGUCCCCCACACAAGGUUAGACAAGCCACUUACCUCGAACCGGCUCAAAAUCAACCCGACACCAUGUCUUUGCCACGAGUGCUCGACUCCAAAUGGCCCAAAUCUAUUCAAUUCAAUUGCAUAAUGAAAAUAACACUUCAAGUAACUGAUUCUACAAUUAAAUUCUAAGCUAAUACGCGAAAUUAUGUAAAAUUACCAAAAUGCUCCUCGGGCCCACGUCUCGGAAUCGGGUAAAAUUUAUAGUUUCAGAAUCCUCACACUCUCACAAGUCUAACCAUACAAAAAUAAUCCAUAUCUGAUGUAAAAUCCCCAAUCAAAACUCAAUUUCUUGGUCUAAGAACUUUUCCCCAAUUUUCAUAAAAAUUCCGAAAUUAAAGGAUGAAUUCAUGUUUAGAUUAAUGGGUUACAAUAAAAAAGGAGUCUAGAACCAUUAUCCAAUCGAUAUCUCUGAAAAUCCCUCAAAAUUUCGCUUAAAUCCGAGCUCCCAAGCUUAAGUCUUGAUAAAAAUGGCUAAACCCUCGAUUUUGAAAUCUCAUAUCUGCCCAGGCGCGUUCUUUUUUGCGAACGCGAGGCUACUAUCGCGAACGCGAUGCACAAAAGUCCUGCUGGCCAAAUUUCUCUUUCACAAAUGCGAGGUCCACUCGCGAACGCGUAGCUUACACGGGCAGACCCUAUGCGAAUGCAAUGACCAUGUCGCGAACGCGAAGCACAUUUCAGCUGCUUCACCCAGAUGCUCUACGCGAACGCGAGACCCUCUCGCGAAUGCGAUGAAUGUUUUCUCUGCAACACAACAGCAGAAAAUCUGUUGUCUUUCCAAGUCCAAAAGUGGUCCGUUGAGCAUCCAAAAUACCCCCGAGGCCUCGGGACCUCAACCAAAUCUGCCAACCAAACCUAAAACAUCAUUCAAACUUGUUCCAACCUUCGGAACGCUCAAAACAACAUCAAAACACCUAUUUUUCAUCGGAUUCAAGCCUAAGAAUUCCAAAAACUCUAAAAUACUCUUUCGAUCAAAAAGUCUAUCAAACCUCGUCCGAAUGAUCUAAAAUUUUGCACGCACAUCACAUUAAACACUACGGAGCUACUCCAACUUCUGAAAUUCCAUUCCGACCCUCAGAUCAAAAUCUCACUAUCGAACUGGAAACUUCAAAAAUUCAACUUUCGGCAUUUCAAGCCUUAAUUAGCUACGGACCUCCAAAACACAAUCCAAACACGCUCCUAACCCAAAAAUCACCCAAAGGAGCUAACGGAACCAUCAAAUUUUUAUUCUGAGGCCGUCUUCACACUGUUCCAACUACAACCAACUUUCCAACACUUAAGCUCUCAUUUAGGGACUAAGUGUCCCAUAACUCUCUGAAACUCAAAACUGAACAUCCCGGCAAAUCAAAAUAGCAUAAAUAAACUUGGAAAAAGCAGUUAAUAGGGGAUCGGGGUAUUAAUUCUUAAGGCGACCGGCCGGGUCAUCACAGUUUAAGAAAAAAAACCUUCAUUACAUCCUUUGUUUACAUGCCACUAGCUAGUAGCGGCAUUUACCUCUCUUUUCCUUGUACCACUCUUUGUCAUCAUUUUUUUUUACUUUAUAAGGAAUGCUUCUGAAAUCUCUAGUGCCAAUACUGUUGUGAAUUUGUUUAGUUCUUGUACUGAAAUGGAAGACCCCAGAUUCGAGGAGAGGGGUUAUGUUGUUAGAGCAGAAAUUGACACUUCUGCUCCAUUUGAGUCUGUGAAAGAGGCUGCUACUCGAUUUGGUGGAAUUGGAUUUUGGAAACCAACUUUUUCACAAAUCAUUUGAUAAGUGCUGGAAGACAAGCCUUGAAUACACUCAAUGAUCAAUUUUCGUUUUUUCCCCUUUUUUAUAUAUUUUCAUAACCUAUGGCCUUCACAAUAAUUUCAAAGUAGUUUAGGAAAAUGAUUCAUGAAUAUCAUAGUUUGCUUUAGGCGCGUAAUUAAAUUAUCAUGACUAUGGGUACAGUUCUCGUGGCAUAGUCGUGAUACCUAAUUCCCAAAUUCGGGUGCAUAUUUCAUGUCACCCGACCACAACUUCGAACAAUAAUAAAAUACACAUUGUAAAUUGUGGAUACGGUUCCUGUGACACAAUUCGCAACUUGUACAAAAAUAAAUAGGUGUACGACAAUCGUGACUUAUUUCAGAAAUAACUCCAUAAAUAAUUAAAAGCGGUAUAAAAGGUUAAAAAUGCACAAUAGGUUUAAGCACAUAAUAAAUCAGAUAAUGAGACCAAUUAUUAAUAGUUGAGCGACGGUGCUAAAACCAUGGAACUAGGGAGUGCCUCACACCUUCUUCUGGGUUAACAAAAUUUCUUACCCGGUUUUCUGUGUUCGCAGACCAAAAAAUAGAGUCAAUUUCCUCGAUUUGGGAUUUAAAAUAAACCGGUGACUUGGGACACCAUAAAUAUCCCAAGUGGCGACUCUGAAAUAAAUAAAAUAAUUUCAUCUCGAAUAAUGUCACUUUAAUUGGAAAAACUCCUUUAUAUCCCCUCGGGUAAAAAGGAGGUGUGACACCAAUAUUUCAAUUUCAACCCAAAUAAGGGGAGUAAUCACGACCCGCCCCUACACCAACACGUGUAGUUUCAGGUGUGGGUCUUAUGACCCACCCUUCCUCGGAUUUUUUAAUGAUACUUCCAAAAUAAUUUUUGAAUUGAUUUGCACACAAAGGUAACAUAAAUACAAUUGUACUCACCUCAACCUCUUUCACAUUGUAUAAAUCCUCAUUAGUAUUUCCAGUCACUCACAACAACAAUAUUUCCUUAGCUCAUUUGGCAUUCACAAGAUUAUUUAUUCCUGGUACUGCAGCCGUAUUUCCUAUUCCACACUUUCACCUCUUUCAAUUUCAAAGAUCACCAUCAAAUAUCAACAUAUAGAAUAUUUCUGUAAUCAUAUACCUGAAAAUUAUUAGUAAUGGAAACUUUAAACACAAAAGGUUUCUUCCCAAAGAUUGGGGCAUACCAACCAGCAAUAGAAACACACAUCAAAAUCAUAAACAAUCAAUACAUCAUUUACUCUUGCAAUACUUUUCCAGAAAUGACAAUGUACAAUUUUAACACCUGAGUAUAUAAGAACUCGAAUCACACUGGAUAUAUUUGUAGAGCAAAACAUUAGUUAAAAUAGCCACUUAUGGGCAUGAAUUGAGUACAAAAGCUUUUAGGAAAUUCUAUUUUCGAAAUUAUUUUUAGUCAGUUGAGUCGAGGCUCAUUUCAUAAUCUUUAUCACAUCCUCUUAAUUGGCACCACUAGCCACAAUUAUAACUUAAAAUCUUGGCACGUUGGUAGCACACUAUUUCCCCAAUUCACUUAUUUUAUUUUCAAGUAUCUUUAUAGAUUAUCAACAACAAGACAUUUUCAAUUAAUACUUUAGGUAAACAUAUGAGUAAUUUAGAGCCUUAAGCAUGUCAAGUUUUUCUCACCCAAUUGGUAUACUAGUUUUCAUUUAAAACACGACUCAAAGCCAUAAUAUUUCAAUAUGCAAACCAUAUUUUGAACAUCUAUCUUUCGACAUAAGGCUCAUUCGGAAUAAUCAAGUUUAUAGGGGAUAACCCGGAAUAUAGAAAUUAGGAAUCUUGAGCCAAUUAUACUUGAACUUACGGGAACACAAUGGAAUUCGAUUCUAAGAGAGAAAGUUUAGCCAAUGUACCUUGUCUAAGCUUUUCUUAAGUUACCACAACUCCCUAACACUUCUAUCAAUAACAAUCUAUAGAAAGAUAGUGUAAAUCGGUUAAUAAUUAGAAGGAUUACCAUGAUGUAACUCUCUUAGGAAUUUUAUCAAACACCUAACAUGCGAAAUAGACUACAAGGCUCUAUAAUGGACAUCCUUUCAUCCCUCAACCAAUUUCAACAAGAAACUACCCAAAAUGGUUUAUUACUCCACAUACUACAACUUUGUGUCACAUGCAUGGCCUAUUUCCAACCCCACAAUAUAUUUGAACUUAUAACCUCUUGUAUGAAAGCUUAGAAGUAGGACUUACCUGAAAAGAUAGUGAUGUAGUGAUUGACUUCCUUGAUUCUUGAGGAUUGUUGCAAGAUUGGAUGAUUGGGGUGUUAGGUUUCCUCCUUCUCUCUCUAAAACGCUCUUACCUCUCUCUAAACUCACCAAAAAAUCAUCCCAAAUAAAGCCCUAAAGGCUACUUAUAAAAUGGAGCCGUUUCAUAAAAAAACCAGAAUUUGCACAGUCGCGGCGCAUGGGGCGGCACAGUAGUGAAAAAUGUGUCUAGAAACAAAAUUUUGAAGUGUUCUGGAAAUUUGCACAGCCGCGCCGCAUGGGGCGCCCCAUGGGUUGGCGCGGUAGUGUUAUAUUCUGCCAACUUUUGGUAAUUUGGUCAUAACUUCUUGUAUAAGUGUCCAAAUGACAAACAAUUUGAAGCUUUAGAAACUAAAGUCGAAGAUCUUUAAUUUGACAGGUUUUUCAUCACAUAAUUCCUCAUAUAUAUAUAUAUAAAGCUAAAAUGGUUUGAGAUUUUCUUAAGUUACUAUAACCCCAACACUUCUAGCAAUAACAAUCUAUAGGAAGAUAGUGUAAAACAGUUAUUAAUUAGAAGGAUUCCUGUGAUGUAACUCUCUUAGGAAUUUUGUCAAAUACCUAACAUGUGAAAUAGAUUACAAGGCUCUACAAUGUCGAUCCUUUCUUCCCUCAACUAAUUUCAACAAGAAACUACCCAAAAUGUUUCAUUACUCCACAUACUACAACUCUGUGUCACAUGCAUGCCCUAUUUCCAACCUCACAAUAUAUUUGAAUUCAUAACCUCUUGUAUGAAAGCUUAGAAGUGAGACUUACUCGGAAAGAUAAUUAUCUAAUGAUUGGAUUCCUUGAUUCUUGAGGAUUGGUGCAAGAUUGGAUGAUUGGGGUGUUAGGUUUCCUCUUUCUCUCUCUAAAAUGCUCUUACCUCUCUUCAAACUCACCAGAAAAUCAUCCCAAAUAAAGCCCCAAAGGCUAUUUAUUAAAAUGGGGCCAUUUCAUAAAAAAUAGAAUUAGCACUGCUACGGCACAUAGGCUAGUGCAGUAGUGAACAAUGUAUCUAGAAACAAAAUUUUGAAGUGUUCUGGAAAUUUGCACAGCCACACCGCAUGGGGCGCCAAAUUGGACGACGCGGUAGUGUUAAAUUCUACCAACUUUGAUAAUUUGGUCAUAACUUCUUGUAUGAGUGUCCAAAUGAUGAACAGAUUGAAGCGUUAGAAAUUAGACUCGAAGGUCUUUAAUUUGAUAGGUUUUUCAUCCCAUAAAUCCUUAUAUAUAUGUGUAUAUGCUCGUCCAAAGUUUGGUCUUUUGCGUACUUAUAAGGAACUUUAGUUUGUCAUGUAUUUUUCCAACUUGGCUUAAACUUAUGCCCCUCCUUAGACCCCAAAUCACUUAUAAUAUAGCUUGUACACUUANNNNNNNNNNNNNCAAAAUAAUGUAAUUAGUGCACAUCAACUUUCUUAAUAGAGCUUAACUACUUCAAAAAAUUUCGGGGUGCUAAAACCACCAUAAUAGUACCAUAACCAUUAGACUUCAGUAGACAAGUAAUAAAGUCCAUAGUUGUGCUCUCCCAUAGACACUCUGCGACUGGCAGUAGUUCCAAAAGUCCUCUGGGUUGUUGUUGCUCAACCUUGUCUUGCUGACAUAUAAGACAAGUCUUCUAUGUCAUCUCGCAUGCGCGACCAAUAGUAGGCUGACUCAACCAAGGCCUAGUGUGAUGUUGGCAUGGAUGACCAGCCCACAUUGUGUCAUGACUCUCCUUUAUGAUUCACCAUCUAAUGCUUCCAAACUUAGGCACAUAGACCCGUCGAAUCGUGGUAAGCAAUAUGUCGUCUUCUACCUAAAAACGUCUUGUCUUGUCGUGGUUGGAUAACUCGAUAAGCUGUUUGGCUGCUGGAUCAUGUUGCAUGCCUUAUUUUAUAGCAUCACGAAUGCCCCAACUUGCUGAAGUGAUGGCAGCAAGCUCGGCUUUCCUGCUCAAGAUAUCAGCUACAACAUUACCUUUGCCCGGCUUAUACUCCAACACAUAAUCAAACUCGGCCAAGAAAUCCUACCACCUAGCCUGUUUUAGUGUGAGCUUCUUCUGUGUCUAAAAGUAGCUAGUAGCCACAUUAUCAGUCUUGACCAUGAACCUCGACCUGAGCAAAUAAUGUCUCCAAGUACGAAGGCAAUGCACAAUGGCAGUCAUUUCCUUCUCUUGCAUUGUGUAACGCUGCUCUGUGUGUACCUCAAAUGUCUUGGCAAAGUCAGGUAACGCCAAGACUGGCUUCUCUAUUAUAGCUGCCUUAAGGCCUUCAAAUGCCUUUUGACAAUGCUCUCGUCCAAACCCAUGGCUUGUUCUUCUUUAGCAACUCAAUCAAUGGUUCGGCCUUUACUGAGUAGCCACAGAUGAAUCGACGAUAGUAGUUAACAAGGCCAAGGAAGAAUCUCAACUCAUUUACCUUUAUAGGUUCCUCCCACUCCUGGAUAGCACGUACCUUUGUCUCGUUCCAUACGUAGUUCGCCAUUGCUAAUGACAUGGCCCAAGAAGUACACCUUUAAUUGUGCAAACUUGCAUUUCUCCCUCUUGAUGUACAGUUUGUUCUCCCAUAAGACUUGGAAAACCUUGCUUAAGUGCUCCAAGUGCUCCUCCAAGGUGUUGCUAUAGGUGACUAUAUCAUCUAGGUAGACUACCACGAACUGAUCAAGGUAGGGAUGGAAAAUCUUAUUCAUAAGGGUGCAAAAUGUGGUCGAUGCAUUGGUUAAACCGAAGGGCAUCACCAACCACUCAAAGGCUCUAUAUCUAGUCACAUAUGCUAUCUUCGGCUCAUCCCCUUCUACAAUGCGAACCUGGUAGUUGCCUUUGAAAAGAUCCACCUUGUAAAGUACUUCGCUUGCCCAAGUCUAUCGAACAAUUCAAUAAUGAGCGGGAUCGGGUACUUAUUCUUCAAUGUGACCUCAUUAAGUGCUCAAUAGUCUAUGCAUAAGCGAAAUGAUUCAUCCUUCUUCUUCUGGAACAAUAUUGGUACGCCGAAAAGUGCCUUCAAUGGGCGAAUGUGACCAUCAUCUAGCAGCUCCUUCAACUGUUUCCGAGCUCCUCUAGCUCGGCCGGUGCCAUACGAUAUGGGGCAAAUACGGGUGGUUUAGCCCCUAGCUCCAACUCAAUCUCGUGAUCCACCUCUCGCCUAAAUGGCAAGUGCUUAGGCAACUCCUCGGGUAUGACAUCUUUAUUUUCCUCAAGUAACUUCUUUAUGCAAGGUGGCAAUGUCUCUUGAAAACUCCUGUCUUCCUUUAGACUUGCAAUGGUUGCCACGAACGUCAGCUCCCCCUUCUUAAUCCCCUUGACAACUUGCAUAGCUGAGAGUUGUACUUGGAUCUGUCCGUGCGGCAUAGUCACUGUAGGUACCAUGCAAGAUCCUUUUCUCUCCAUAACCAAGAGACUUUGAACGUAGGGGUCGAUCAUAGUAUGACAAUGUCUAAAGAACUUUUCCCCUAGUACGAUGUCAAAGAUAUCCAUAGCAGUUAUGGUAAAGUUCGUCAUACCUUUCCAAGUUUCCAAUUUGACACUAACUUCAAUAGCUACCCCACGAGCAUUUUGUACCUCGGCUUUCAUGGUCUUGAUGCAAAAGUUAGUUGGAGCAAGCUUCAAUUCUAGUCUCUUUCUGGUAGCCUCAGCCAUGAAAUUAUGAGUUGCUCUAGUAUCCAUCAUUGCACGAGCGGGCUUGUUGUUGAUGGUGAGAUUCACAUAAUGAUUGCCAUUUUUGCUAGGUUGGAUAGCUUUCUUCGUGACAACACCACAUAAUCCGAUCAUACCCAACUAUGCAGUUCCCAAAAUCUCUCCUUGCGGUUGUUCUUUUGCUCACGGACCAGUGCACUGAGGCUAUUGAGGUCGGGACAAUUCCAGAAUUCGUGCAGCCCUACGCAUAUAUAGCAUCCCUUCGUCUCGGCCUGCGCCUCCUUCUCGGCCGAGAAGAACUUAUUUGUCAUGUCCUUAGUAGUUAACUAAGUACACGUGUGACACUUGACAACUCGCUUAUGAUCUUGCACAACUUGCUCAUGUUCUUGCUAUGCCAAGUCAGUCUUACUAUACUCAAGAUCACUAAGAGAAUGAUAGAAAGAACACAAGAGACUUGCUAAAGGAAGUUUGUAUUAGAGAGAACUUGAAUUGCUUGCUUGGUGAAUUAUAAAUGGAUGAACACCUUUAUAUAUUAGUCUCCUAGGGGCUAGAGUGUAAAUAUUAAUUGCUACACAAGUCCUUUAAUAUUUACAAGAUAAGCGCGUUCUCUAAAAUUCUCUACAAGCCUAGAAUAUUUCAAGGAUAUUCCUAGCAAAUCCAUAGGGAUCUAGGGUCUUCCUAUGGAAAUGUCCAUACUUCUCUAGAAUCUGGUCCUCAGUAUUUGUGAGAAGAUUCUAGAGAAGUAUGGACAUUUCCUUUGGAAAACCCUAGAUCCCUAUGGAUUUGCUAGGAAAGUCAUUGGAAUCUUCUAGGCUUGUAGAAAGUUCUAGAGAAAGCCCUUAUAUUGUAAAUAUUAAGGACUUGUGUGUCACAACCCAAACUGAUGGGUCAUGAUGAGUGCCUAAGUCAUUGAACACCCUUAAGCAUGCGUCUAACAUAUAAACAUAAAUAACAUCUGUUGAACCAUGAGAAUAGCAUACAUGAGGAAACAUGUCCAAAAGACACACACACACACAUAUAUAUAUAUAUAUAUACACACGUGCGAGAUACAUAGGGUAAGGCAACAAGGCUACUAUAGAAAACUACAUAUAAGAAAUUGGAACCGACAAGGCCACAUACUACCCAACUAUACAUGACUAUCUAUAGACCUCUAACAGAAUAUACAACUGUACAAGGACGGGAUUGGGCCCUAUCAUACUCAUAUAUGUAUACAAACAUAUCGUACCAAAAUCCAAAGUAGCUCCGGAUCAAAUGGAGCAUACCCACUCUCGUUAAUCAAGGAUCCUAAGAAUGGGGACCGUAAGCUUGUCUACCUACACCUGCGGGCAUGAAACGUAGUCCCCGAGAAUAGGGCGUCAGUGCGAAUAAUGUACCAAGUAUGUAAGGCAUGAAAAUCAGUACAUAAAUGACAUAGAUGAAACAUGUAAUAAACAAUUUCGCAUGUAAGUCUAAAUAUCAUUGUAAAUCCUGAAACAUUUAUAAUGUCGUGCAUGUGCGUAUAAAUGUCAUGUCAUGCAUAGGUAUAGGUGUUCGUAACAUCAUCAAGCCUCUGAGGGCAUCCCAUCAUAUCAUCUAGGCCAUUAUGGGCAAAAUCAUCAACAUAUACCAGCUGAUCAGGUGGUACUGCAUAUAUAACGCCGUAACAUUUUCCCAUAUCCCAUAUAUAUAUAAUAUACGCGUAUAUAACGUCAUCUGGUCAUGGGUCAAUGUACAUGUAUAAGUGAAUGAAAUGCAUAAGAAAUACAUUAAUAAGAUUUUCUCGGAAUGUUAUGAGAUUAUUAUACCUUUCGGAUAACUUUAUCAACUACGUAUUUUUCUGAGACCCAUGAACAGAAGAUAUAAUGAUAAAUCACAUGGGAGAUCAAGAAUAUAAGCAUCCUUAGUAAUUCUAUGAAUAGAGUUAUUUAUGAAAGUUGUGCAUUUGCUCGUUUCAUUUGUAUCGUAUGGAUCAUGUCAAAAAGAAAGAAGGGAUUAGCCUUAACAUACCUGAACCGAUUCUCUUGACAAUACCUCUAACAAAUAUUAAUUGCGACGAAACACGUUACGACAAAAUUGGAGUAGGGAAAAAUCCAUAUGAUAUUCUUGAGAAAGAUUGCACCGUACUCCUUUAUAAUUGCAAAAUCUCACGUUUUGAAUUGUCAAAAAAACCUAUGAAAUAUUACGUCUCGACUUGUUGAAGAAUCUAUGGAAUCUCAUGUUGCUUUGAUGAAGUUAUCUUGCUGAUAAUAUAACAUAUCGUUAGGAACAUGAAUUCUUAUCGCACGAUCUUAGAUAAGAAGAGAGGAUAACAUCCUGUAUGUCUUUUAGCCUCUUGUCUAUAAGUGAUAAACAAGACUCUAUUAGACACGGUCUAUAGACUACCUAGGACAGAACUGCUCUGCUACCACUUUGUCAUGCCCCAAACCCGGGAAGGCGUGGUUGGCACCCGGUGCCAUUAUACCCUGAGCAAACCACUCUGUUACUCAUUUUUUUCCUUUUUAACUAUCACGGGCCAACAUGGCCACAACUCGUAAUGUAUAAAAAUAAGUGGAAACAGAGUGUAUUAAUAAACCAUCUUUCUUAAAACAUGAAUACAUAUGGGCCGACAAGGCUUCUGACGUCCUUUUGUUGGGGAUGCUGCAUUCAUCCCUGCAGGUGUAGACAAUCAAUUUAACGAGCCCUUAUAGUAGACGAGGUCAGCAUUCAACGAAGAAUUGGUAAGACUGCACCUCAUUCGAAGUGCUUCCGAGUCUAUAAGACAUCGUGUUAGAGUUUUGCUACAGAUUUAUGGGUAGGUCGGUACCCUUUCCCAUUUGAUGUCAAAUAAUCUUAGAAGCUUUUUAGACAAAGUUUCAUUUUGUACAGUAUGUCAGAGGCCUUAACGGCCCAUAUGUAUUCAUAUUUUAAGAAAGAUGGUUCAUUGAUAUAGUAUUUUCCCACUUAUUAUUAUACAUUACGAGUUGUGGCAAUGUUGGCCCAUGAAAGUUAAGAAAGAAAAAGAUGAGUUACAGAGUGGUUAGCUCGGGCCAGUACGACACCGGGUGCCAGCCACGCCUCCCCAGGUUUGGGGCGUGACAUUGAGUAACAAUUAAUAUUUACACUCUAGCCCCUAGGAGACUAGUAUAUAAAGGGGAUCAUCCAUUUGUAAUUCACCAAGCAAAACAAUUCAAGUUCUCUCUAAUACAAAGUUUUCUUUAGCAAGUCUCUUGUGUUCUUUCUAACAUUCUCUUAGCAUUCUUGAGUAUAGUAAGGCUGACUUGGUAUAGCAAGAACAUGAGCAAGUUAUGCAAGAUCAUGAGCGAGUUGUCAAGUGCCACACGUGUACUUAGUUAAAUACUAAGUACGUGACAAAGAGCUGAAUAAAUUACAAACUUACGAGAACGGUUCCAUGAUUCAGAAAGAGAUGGAGCUAUGGCCAGGAUAAUAUCCUGGCAGCAAUUAUGACAAACCUCUCCAUCCAUCUACAGUCACUGUCAUCAUCCACGCUGGUGAAAAGGGCAUGGUGACCUUGUUUGAUGAAAUUUAUUACUCCCCCACAAAAGAUUUUUGGGGACUAGAGAUACAUCAUGUGUGCCAAGGUUGGGAUUUUCCUAGUCUCCAUGCACAAUUGGCAUAGGAAAGUCAUAGUUUGUCAUAUAGAUGGGCCUACUUGUGCCAAGCAAACCUGGUACUAGUGGCUGAACUCCAAAAUUAUGGGGUCAAACCCUUCACUCGUCCCAAGACAAACGGACCCAAAGUAAAAGGAUACGUAUAGACAUACGUAAAACCUUUCUUUGUGAAGUUAACCCGCUCUAUCAUAACCGGAGCAAAGAUGUUAAGAUUUGGACAGUUGCAGUCCUCCUUCACAGCAAGAGUACUAGAAGGGCAAAUAGAGGAAGUGUACCUGCUAGUGGCCCAAGUCUGUAGGGACGCGGAUGAAAACUUCUCUUGGAACUCAUUGGUAAUGGUCAGGUGUUUGGGUAUGAUGGUACUUAUCGUGGGAGGCUCGGAAUCAACGUUGACCUCUUUGUCUUUGUUUCUAUUUGGGCCUCCACCGAGGAGAAGACUAGAGUUUCGAAAAGAUUCAGUAGAAGAAGUUAUGGUAGUAAAAAUGUAGUAAAGUUUUUUAGAGAAAGUCAGAAAGAUGGAAGUUUCUAAGAAGGAAGAGGCUAAGUGGAGAAAAGAUGUUGAACUUAUGAAGAUUUUGGAAGUGAAAGAGGUAAAAUAAUAAAAAUAAGUAAAGGUAUAGACGACAAAAAUCGUGAUCAUGACUACCUUGAGAACCAGUAAAAAUAUUAUUGAAUUGUGGGGCAACACGUAUUCGGGGUAUUAAAUGCGAGAAGACGUGCGCCCUUUCAAGCAUCAGAUACUGUUCAGGAGAUUUCCUGCCAAGAAAUGAAUCUUCACCAACUUCCUAGUGACACAAAGAUAUGUCACUAAAAAGUAGGUGGAUUGUCUGUAUAGGAUAAAAUUGGUCCGUAAUAAAUGGUCUAAUGCUAGCAUGUCACGUGGAAUUGAAGAGAGGUAAAAUGCGAGUCAAGUAACUACCAGUACUAGGAAAAACAUCUGCAGUUGGUAUCGAUAAACCCCGAAGAGAGUCUGAUCAACGAGAGUAGUUUGAAUGUUUGCCAUCGGAUAACAUUCAAUAAAGAAUAUUCUCUAUCAUAAAAUAGGCAGUCGUUGCAGAGAAUAUUUGUAUUCAUGGUCUGCCAUUAUAUAUUCAUCAAUGACUCCUUUAUUAUCAUUUAAGUGGUGCUUGAUCCUAGGAACUUAUUUCCCUAAGUAUAACUAUAAAUAGCAGGGUCAAUAGCCAUUGUCAGACAGGAAAUUCUUAGCAAAACUUAUGAUGUAUUCUACUUUCACUCUCAAUUAAAACAACUUUAUUUGCUCUUUUAUAUUGUUCUCAUUUCUAUCCUCGGAGACGCUGUUCUCGGAUCCAGGCUUGUCAUUUUUCUUCAAUCUUAAUCGCUAAGUCUUACUUUUAAUCUUAUUUAUUUACCAUUUUUGGAUCAAAUCAAUUCAUUUGUGUAUAAACAAUAUAACAAAUUCAAAUGUACUGUUUACGGGUAAACAUGCAUAUUUUUGAGUUGUGACAAAACUUACAUAGAGCCCGUUUGGAUUAGCUGACUUGAAGUAGCUGAUAAGCAUUAGAUGCUGAAACUGAUUUAAUAAAUAAGCAGUUAUGUAUUGGGUAUAAGUGCUGAAAUUGAUAAUAAGUUGUUGCAGUAGUAAAUUAAAAAAAUUGCUGAUAAGCUCUUUUUCUGUUAAAAUGACUUAAAUAACCUUAGAAUUGUUUACACUUAUAAGAACUUAAUUUCUUCAAAAUUUUAGAUUCAAGAUCGAAUCAAAUACAAAGUAUUCUAUUUAGCAUUUUAUUUUAAAUACAACUAUGCUUAGAUAUGAUAAUUUUUAUGAUAAAUAUAAUUUAUUUUAUGAUAAGCAUAUAAUCAUAAGUUAUAAUAAUUAAUAAAUUGAAAAAAGUUUCUCAGUAAAAAAUAAACCUAAAUUGGACAAAAUAUUUGAGGAGAAACAAAUACUGUCUUCAUCUCCACAACCGUUAGAAAGCAAUACACCAAAAAUUUGAUAUGUCCUCAUUUAUUACAAACAGUUCAAAGAUUAAUACACAAUCACAUAGAUAUAAAUAUGCAAAGGAAUAGAGAAUUUGCUUAUCAUAAAUAGUCAAUCAGAAGAGAAGGGGGGCUAGAUUGGUGAGUAUCGAUGUAGAUGUUCUGUUCUAAAAAGGAAUAUUUUAAUAAUAAAAUAGUAAAAAACCUGAUCAAACUUAAAGUGCUUAUAAGCUAAAAAUUCAUAAGCUGGGGUGAGCUUUUGGCUUAUUUUUGACUUAUAAGCACUUUUAACUUUACCAAACGCGUAGAUAAAAUAAAAAGUGUUUAUAAGCUAGUUUGACCAGUUUAUAGGCUUCGCCAAACACCCUUGUAGUCUUUUUUUUGAGCAAACAGGAAAUAUAUAUAUAUAUAUUAAUACUUAAGGAGGGUUAAAUACAUUGUUCCCAUAUUUGGUGUCUCGAAGGACACUUUCAUUACCUAGGCAUGCCAAAGUGUUGCAAGCAUUAUAAGAGAGUAGCUUAACAAAAAUACAUUGUUCUAAUAAGUCCUUUUCCACAAAACAUUUAACAUAAGAGGGAGCUUCAACAAAAAUCUACAUGCCUUCACGUUCUUCCUUUGCCUUUUUUGCCAUGUGAUGAGCAGCAUUAUUCCCUUGCCUGAAUGUGUGCCAGAGGAUUAUCUCCUUCUGCUGGUGCAUUAACCACCUGUAUUCAUUAACAAUAUCAUCAUAAAGCAUAUUUCCUUGAAGGAUCGUUUGUAUAGCCUCCACAGAAUCUGAUUCUAUUGCAAGCGGGUAUAGUCUCCAUUUUUUAGCCAUUUUGAGCCCUUCUAGUAGAGCUUUCAACUCUGCUUCUAGUGAUCCACUUGCAUAUGAAGAUUUUCCAAACCCCACAAUCCAGUAUCCUUUAGUAUCUCUAAAAGUGCCUCCCAAACCACAUUUUUGCGUAACAUUGUUAUAGCUAGCAUCUAUGUUCAGCUUAGUCCACCCUUUUGGUGGCUUGUGCCGUGCAAUAUUAAUAAGAAUUUUAGGAGUGAAGAUGCUUUUUUCAGUGAGGAGUUUAUAUUUAGUAGCCUUUUUAAUGAUAAAGUCACCAUUGAUUGGGGAAAUGGUGUUCUUAUGAUUGUUAUUGUUCCUAUUUUUCAAUGUAUACCAAAUAAUGAACGGGAAGAGAAGGUCCCAAUUUAUGAUAUUAUUCGUAAUUGGGUAGUUAAAAAUCUUCAGUUGGAUGCCAGUGAUCACCUGAAACUUUGUAGUAGUGAUGCCACCCAACCCUUUCCCAAAAGGGCUUGAUUGCCUUACAGCUAAAGAAAAUGUGAAUAAUAGAUUCUUCCUCGUUAUUUCUACAUACCGGACACAUUGGAUCUAAGUUCAAACCAAUUCUCGCCAGGUAUUGUCUACAAGGAAUCCUGUUAUGGAGACAUUGCCACAAAAGGUAUUUUAUUUUAUUGGGACAAUUUAGCUUCCAAAUUCAUUGGAAAUCCAGAUAGUUGAUUUUUGAAGACUCAAGUAAAUUAAAUCAAGUUUUAGUUGUGAAAAGGCCUUUGGUAGUUAGUGACCAUAUAGGGAUGUCACUCCUUGGGUCUUUUCCCCGAAUUCUCACCUUUUUAAUAAUGUCCUUAAUGUGAUUUGGGAUAUCAAUAGAAAGAUUAUCAAGUUCCCAAUUUUUCCCAUUUAGUAAGUCCUUUAAUUUUAUGGUUUGUUCACUUUUUUGAAGAGGGCCUUCCACAGUAGCUCUAAGAUUUCCUACUCCAGAGAUCCAAUUAGUUUCCUAAAUAUUCAUGUUUGAGAGGAUGUGGGGUGACCAAGUGAUUCUUUUAGAGCAUAACGCCCAACCCUUUUUGAUGCUUCUCCAAAAAAAAAGAGUUUUUAUUAAUAGCAUUAUUUGAAGCAUAGGUGGAGAUUAUAAGAGUAACCCAAGGAGAGGUGGGAUUUGUGAGCAAUCUCCAAACCAUACUAGCCAAAGUACAUAGGUUCUUUGAAGUGGCACUAUGUAUUCCUAGACCACUAUUAGAUUUUGCUCGGCAAAUGGUAGACCAAUUAAUAAGGUGCAUUUUUUUCUUCUCAUUGGUGGACCCCCAGAUGAAAUCCCUUUGCACCUUGUCAAUUUUAUUGAGAAUCUUUUUUGGUAGUAAGGUAUAUUGCAUAUAGUGGUUUGGAAUUGAAUUUAAACAAGAGUGCCAGCGUAGUUCUGCCAGCUAUAUUAAUGAAAUUCAUUUUUCAAGUAGCUAGAUGGGAUCUCAUCUUAUCAAUUAUGAAUUGGUAGUCACUUGGCCUAGGGGAGUUAUUUAAUAUUGGGAAUCCUAGGUAGGUGCCAAAAUACUCACUUUUCCUAAUACCUAGUAUGUUAGUUAUAUCUUUUAUGUCGGAUUCAGGACAAUUUUUUGAAAACAAAAUUUUAGAUUUCGAGAGAUUAAUUUUUUGCCCAGAAAUUUUACAAAAAUAGGUAAGACCUUCUUUGAUAGAGUUACACGACUUCUUAUUGGCUUUAGCCAUAAAAGUGAGAUCGUCCGCAAAGAACAAGUGGGAAAAAAUUGGACUCUUCCUUCCAGUGGUUAUAGGAUCCCAUUUCCUUAAGUCUACUUGAUAAUGAAUAUAUCAUGAAAGCAUUUCCAGACAAAGUAUGAAGAUAUAUGGAGAAAUGGGUCCCCUUGUCUAAUUCCCCUAGUUGGCUCAAAAGAGUUUGUGACAGAGCCAUUUACUAGGACAAAUAUCGAGCUAGUUGUAAUACAAUUUAACAGAAGUUUUUAGAACUUGGGAGGAAAUUUAAAGUAUUGAAGGGUAUAGUGUAUGAAAGACCAUUCAAUACGAUCAAAAGCUUUUUCCAAAUCGAUUUUGAGGAUCAUUUGACCUUGUUUUCUCUUUAAUCUCUUUAAGUUUAAAACUAUAUCUUGGAUAAUAACAGCAUUAUCGGAAGCUCUUCUAUUCUUCACAAAGCUAGCUUGGAAGGGACUAAUUAGGUUAUUUAGAAAAGGUUUUAGUCUAUUAGCUAGUAUACAACAACAACAACGACCCAGUGUAGUCCCACAAGUGGGGUCUGGGGAGGGUAAUAUGNNNNNNNNNNNNNNNNNNNNNNNNNNNNNNNNNNNNNNNNNNNNNNNNNNNNNNNNNNNNNNNNNNNNNNNNNNNNNNNNNNNNNNNNNNNNNNNNNNNNNNNNNNNNNNNNNNNNNNNNNNNNNNNNNNNNNNNNNNNNNNNNNNNNNNNNNNNNNNNNNNNNNNNNNNNNNNNNNNNNNNNNNNNNNNNNNNNNNNNNNNNNNNNNNNNNNNNNNNNNNNNNNNNNNNNNNNNNNNNNNNNNNNNNNNNNNNNNNNNNNNNNNNNNNNNNNNNNNNNNNNNNNNNNNNNNNNNNNNNNNNNNNNNNNNNNNNNNNNNNNNNNNNNNNNNNNNNNNNNNNNNNNNNNNNNNNNNNNNNNNNNNNNNNNNNNNNNNNNNNNNNNNNNNNNNNNNNNNNNNNNNNNNNNNNNNNNNNNNNNNNNNNNNNNNNNNNNNNNNNNNNNNNNNNNNNNNNNNNNNNNNNNNNNNNNNNNNNNNNNNNNNNNNNNNNNNNNNNNNNNNNNNNNNNNNNNNNNNNNNNNNNNNNNNNNNNNNNNNNNNNNNNNNNNNNNNNNNNNNNNNNNNNNNNNNNNNNNNNNNNNNNNNNNNNNNNNNNNNNNNNNNNNNNNNNNNNNNNNNNNNNNNNNNNNNNNNNNNNNNNNNNNNNNNNNNNNNNNNNNNNNNNNNNNNNNNNNNNNNNNNNNNNNNNNNNNNNNNNNNNNNNNNNNNNNNNNNNNNNNNNNNNNNNNNNNNNNNNNNNNNNNNNNNNNNNNNNNNNNNNNNNNNNNNNNNNNNNNNNNNNNNNNNNNNNNNNNNNNNNNNNNNNNNNNNNNNNNNNNNNNNNNNNNNNNNNNNNNNNNNNNNNNNNNNNNNNNNNNNNNNNNNNNNNNNNNNNNNNNNNNNNNNNNNNNNNNNNNNNNNNNNNNNNNNNNNNNNNNNNNNNNNNNNNNNNNNNNNNNNNNNNNNNNNNNNNNNNNNNNNNNNNNNNNNNNNNNNNNNNNNNNNNNNNNNNNNNNNNNNNNNNNNNNNNNNNNNNNNNNNNNNNNNNNNNNNNNNNNNNNNNNNNNNNNNNNNNNNNNNNNNNNNNNNNNNNNNNNNNNNNNNNNNNNNNNNNNNNNNNNNNNNNNNNNNNNNNNNNNNNNNNNNNNNNNNNNNNNNNNNNNNNNNNNNNNNNNNNNNNNNNNNNNNNNNNNNNNNNNNNNNNNNNNNNNNNNNNNNNNNNNNNNNNNNNNNNNNNNNNNNNNNNNNNNNNNNNNNUUUCAUUGUAUGACUUAGUAAUUUGAUGCCCCUAUAGUUGUUACAGCUCUGGACAUCACCUUUGUUCUUAUACAACGGGACCAUUGUACUCCACCUCCACUCUUCAGGCAUUCUAUUAGUCUUGAAUAUAACACUAAACAAUGCAGUAAGCCAUUCCAAGCCUGCUCUACUAGCCAUUCCAAGUCUAUUAGCUAGUAUCUUUGUGAUUAUUUUGUAUAACAUAUUACACAAACCAAUUGGUCUAAAAUUCCUAAUGUUGUUUGCAUUAGGUAUUUUGGGUAUUAGACAAAGGUAGGUAGUAUUAAUAAUGGGAGGGAUUGCUUGGCUGUCGAAUAUGUCUGUACAAAGUUUCACAACUGAAGGACCUAUGAUACUCCAAUAUUUUUGAUAAAAAAAAGGGUGAAGUCCAUCCGGUCCCAGGGCUUUAAAAGGCUUGAAAGAAAAGAUAGCCCUUUUGAUUUCAAUUUCUUGCAAGGGUCUAUCCAGUGUACUAAUGUCAACUUGGCCAAUAUUUGAACUAGGGUUUAGGGGGUUUCUCCUACUGGUCAUUGCAUGGGAAGAGGUAAAAGUGUACUUAAAAUAAUUAUUGACAUAUGACAUAAUAAGAAGUGGAUCAAGUAAACUUGACCAAGUAAACUUGCACCCCUUGAAUCCAAGAUCAACUAGAUUGCAGCUAUUAAUCUUGGACCAAGGGAAUUUUGCCCAUGAACCUUUUAUAGGCCUACCACCAAACUUAUCAUUAGCAGUAAACACAUCAUUAAAAUCUCCUCCCACCAUCCAAGGACCUAUAUGGUUUCUACUAAUUUUUUCUAGGUUAUCCCACAUAGCAUUUCUAUUAUAUAAAUAAGUGCUAGCAUAAAUAGUACUAAAGAGCCACUAUUUACGUAUAGGUAAUACCUCAAUCAUUGCAUGGAUUUCCUGAUUUCUACGAACGAAAUUUUGGACAGUCACCACCUCAUGGUUGUAUAGCAGCACAAUUCCUCCAAUUUGGCCAUCGGAUGGAACUUCUAUCAUUUCUGUGAAGCCAAAGUUAUUGAGCAAUUCAACAUGGCUUCCCAUUCUUGUUUCCAAUAAAGCCACCAUGCAAGGUCUAUGAGUGUCGACCAUCUCUCUGAAAUUCCUCCUAAAGUUUUCAUUAUUGCCACUUCUUAUAUUCCAAAUAAUGACAUUUGUUGGACGAUUCAUGGAGACAUUAAGGUUUUGGUUUGGUGGUUCCCCAUUUUUCCUCACAGUCCAUAGAAUAGGGUUCCUUCUCAAAGCUGGUACUAAUAUCAUGGCCAUGUUCCCCACAGUUGGAUCCUGGGGUGGCCUGAUGUCCAUCGAGCAUUUGUACAAUGCUAAUGGGCAGUUGAGUACGUGCCUCUUCUCUUGCAUCUCCGUAAAGAGAAAUACCUUUAUCCCGUCUAGGCUUGAGAACUCUAGGAUUCGUUCUAAGAUUAUAUUGAGAGGUUCCUCCUCCUCCAUUUCUGCCUCUACUAGUUCUAGGUUUUGGACUUGUUGCUGGGGUGGUGAUGGGGUGGUUGAGGAAUGUUUUGCUCCUAGACUGGUGAAGGAUUCUCCCAAGGAAUGAACAUAGGGUUGAAUUGAGUUAGUGUCUCUGUAGGAAAGAAUGGCAUGUCCAGAAGAGCAUUGUGAGGGUAUAUGGGGUUGAAGUGAGGGGGUAAAUUCCAGUGAUUUGUCAUUGCAUGCACUAGUUGAGGGUUUACUGAGGGAGCUAGGGGUUGUAGGAUAUUGUUUAGCCAAACUUGGUUGAGGUAGUUGUUCAUGGCUAGUCUUAUGCCCUCCGCUAAUAGUUGAGCCAAAUACUGGGUGUUGUGAAGAAUCACAAUUGAGUCCUGGCCGUUGAUUUGUAGAUUGAAUGAUACUGCAUGUCCCAUUAAUCCCAUUUCCAUCCACGAUACUGGUUGAUAGUCCUGCGCUUGUGGUAGUUGGACGUAAAUUAUAUGUGGAUUUUCUACUUGUGGAGGAAAGGGUAGAAGGUUUUCCAUGGCAAUUGCUCUGUGUUGCCUUAGGAUCUGUAUCAAUCUGGGACGUCUCCUUAUGGUUGAAGGAAUUCUGGGCAUUUUGAGGAGGGAUAGGAAUACCUAACGUUUCUAAAUUUGGUGUGUGAGAGGGGCUAGGGAAAGCUUGAGAAGGAUUGGGUGGUAGGCUAAUGAUUUGGUGUUCCGCUUUCAUGGAUUUUGGUUGCCCAAUGCCAUGGUUUAUAGGUAUUUCCUCUAUAGGAGUAGUAUCCAUUGCUUGGUUAUUUUGGUUGGACAAAUGUAAGCAUUGGCCAUCUUUAUUUGCCAUUUGGAUUACAUGCUCAGGGAGGGAGAGAUUAUGAGAUCCUAAAGGAAGAUUUUUGUCCGGAUUUUUGGUUAAAGUAGUAUAAUUACCAAUAGGUUUUAUUUUAUUAGUAGGGAGGGUAGUGGAUGUAUUAUUAGUAGAAGGGUAAGUCAUUUCCCCUUAAUUCUUGCAUAGGGCCAUUUUCCCUUUUUUUUUUUUGAGUUAGACACAUUAAUAUCCAACAUGACACAAUUCUUGUUUGUGUUGGACAUUUGUUCUUUUGCAUGGGUAGUACUAGGAUUAUUAAGAAAAUUCUUAUUAUUUUGGAUGGUUUCAUUAGUGGUUUCCUCUAAAACCGUGUGCUCAUUUUCUAGGAUAUUAAAAUUAUUUUUAAUUAGUAGGGAAGUGGUGGUUUUGGCCAUGGUUGCCGGAUUUCUCACCAUGGAGUUGACAGUAUUAGUUUUAUCAACCUUUAUAUCCAUUAAAGUAGGGGAGUCCUUUAAAUCCUUUGAUUCGUAAUGUAAGUAUUUAGUAUCAAGAUACUUACCAAUGCUAGCAUUGAACAUCUUAACGGGGAUAUCUGGACCUUUAGAGUUGUUGAUUGGCUUUGUGGUAUUUUGAUGAAUGUUCCUUUGUGCUAGCCUUUUUCCCAUACUAAACGAGACUGUUUUCCACUCCUCUUCUUUUUUUUCCAUCAUUGAGUUAGUUGCAUGUUCUUCAGUUCCUGCUUCAAUAGCCAUGGCAUCUAAUUUGAUAAAGGUGCAUUGAUUUUUUUUGUGUCCCAGCCUACCACAAUUUGUGCAUAGGAAAUUAUCUCCUUCGUAGUGGAUGUGUUGUUUGUGUUGUCCCACAUAUAGAAAUGGUUGGACUGGGAUUUCUCAGGGAAGUUCAACAUAUAGCCUUGCAUAUCUUCCCCUUAGUAUAGUUGAGGUACAAACAUCCACCUUUAGUAAACGACCAAUUGCAUUGCCAAUUUUUUGUAGUAUUUUUCCAUCGUAAAAUUCCGUAGGCAGUUGUGGGAGUCUAAUCCAAACAGCCGUUGUUGUCAACCUCUCUUUGGAAGCUACAAAAUUUGGUUUCCAUUUUGUAAUGGAGAGGAAGUAUCCGUUAAUAAACCAAGGGCCUUGUUGAAUAGCUUUUUCCAUAUUGUCCUUUUUUUUGAACUUCAUUAUAAAGUAGUCCUCUCCUAGAUCAAUCAUUUGGAAAUCUUCCGUUGGCCUCCAUAGGUCUUGGAUUUUCUUUUGCAAAUAGUGGUGCACCAUGCGUUUGCCCACUAAUUUCACUAUAAUAGCAUACUUCCAAGGUGUAUUGGGAAAAAUUGAGUUUACAUAUUAAAGUGAUUGGAAGAUGAUGUGUCAUGACACGUAGACUGGUCAAAGAAUUAUGAUUGGCAAAGAGGCACGAGUUGCAACAGAUAUGAGCAGAGGCAUAAGAGGAGGCAUGAGCGGAUACUCAAAAGAUUCAACGCCCGUACCUAUUUAAGUCCAAGAAUCAAGGAGAAUGAAUCUGACAGCACAAGAGAGUACAGAUGCAGUAUUUAAUGAGCAUUAAAUACUAAAAAACGUUAGAGAAUUUGUAUUAAAAUACAAUGAUUAUAUAACGUAGCAUUUAAUGUCUUUAAUUGUCUAUAAUGGCCUUGUUAUGACAAAGGCAAAAUGCAUAUUUUCAAGAUAGCUAUAAAAGGGAAAGGUUCGGUCAAUUGUAAGAGAAGAACUAUUUGAAUACAUCGAUUUACUUUAUAUCCUUCUAAUUAUCUUAUUUCUAGCCAAAUUACUUUCUCUUAUACAUUUUUUGAUUAUCAGUAACCCGAGUUCUUCUAAAUUAAAGCUUUGACCGAAAUUCCACUUUUUGGUUAAAUAAAUUGGUUCCGUUACCGGGAAUCUGAUAAUCUAUUCUUUUUUAGUUUAACUUUCCUUGUUGCAUCAACCAUGUCGAACAAUAAUGACAACAUUCAAGGAAACCAAGGAAACCAACAACUUCAGGGAAAUCUAUAGGAUAAUCACACCUCGGACCCUUCUCCACAAAGCUCUCCUCGGCGGUCUCAAGAAGGCACUCCUGAUGGAUCUCAUGCAAAUGGAAACGCUCAAUUUGAAAAUGUUCAAGCUAUCGAUGAAGCUUUGCAAGAACUAAUUACUGAACAGGUCAAUAAAGCUCUUGAGACUUUUACUAGCCAGUUACCAGCUACACCACCCACACCCACUCCAAAUAACAAAACUUUGGAGAACCCUCGUUCUGGGCUUGUUAAUUCAGGUAGUGGUGAAACCCCCAGCGAAUCACAAGAGGGAGUACCAGGUAACUUAGUCAAUUCUGAUUUACAAAAUUUAGUACUAACAUUGCAGAAAUAGCUCAAGGAGCAAAGCGACCGCAUAGAGCAAAUACCCGAGGUGUCGCCCGUAAUCAAAGGGAUAGAUAUGAAUAAAUAUUCGCAACAACCCUGGAAGCCAAGUGCUGCCCCCCCUCCCAAUUCCAAAGAAAUUCAAAAUGCCCGAUAUUCCAAAAUACGAUGGAACAAUUGAUCCACGAGACCACGUGACUACAUUCACAACAAGUGUAAAAGGUGACGACUUGACCAAAUAGGAGAUCGAAUCAGUAUUGGUCAAGAAAUUCGGUGAAACACUCACUAAGGGUGCAUUAACAUGGUAUUCUCUUUUACCCGAAGAUUCUAUAAAUUCUUUUGCUGAGCUGGCAUAUUCUUUCAUCAAAGCACACUCGGGAGCUCAAAUCGAAAAAAGAAUGGAAGAUAUUUUCAAAAUCAAGCAAGGGGACUCAGAAUUGCUUAGAGAGUUCGUGGACAGAUUCCAACAUGAAAGAAUGACAUUACCGCAUGUACCUGACAAUUGGGCAGCUAUAGCUUUCACAAGUAAUUUGAAUGAAAAAAGCUCAGAAGCUACAAGGUGACUCAAGGAAAGUCUUCGUGAAUUCCCAGCUAUAACAUGGAAUGAUGUUUAUAAUAGGUAUAGCGCGAAGCUGAGGAUAGAGGAAGAUAUUUGAUAAUAGGCUAUAUAGUUGUUAUUUACACCAUAAUUGUCCAUGCUUUGUUAUUGUUUUAUAAUGUAAGUUGCCAAUAAAAUGCUUUAAUUAAUGCUAUUUGGUUUCGCAGGGAAUAUAAGAUGUGAGGAAGCAACAUGAAGUGUUUAGAGGCAAUAACGUGAAGAAAACACCCACUCAAGAAGUACCCAAACACAAAAGAGCAAAAAGAGAAGGAACGCAGAGACAAAAAGGCCCAACAUACUCACCACAGUUUCCACCGCAGUCCACGCCGCGGUUGGAGUCAGUGUUCUCCGCGGUCAGCGCCGUGGUCGACGCCACGGUCGCGGCGGCAUGUUCACAGUCUAGAAAUUUAAGGGGCCAAAGUGUCAAUUCGGGAAAGCUUUUGUAAAACCCUUAUAAGAUGUAGGAAACUCGCCCAAGAGAAGAGGGGGGGCUUAUUUUGGAGAUUACUUUUGCAAGAAGACAAGUGUGAGAGAUCACCCAAAACAUCAUAGUUCUUAUUCUCUUCUAUUUUUCUGGCAAUUUUCCAUUAUGAAUAUUUUCAUAGUUUAUUCUUACAUUGUCAUGAGUAGUUAAAUACUUUAAUCUAAGGUUUUGGUGAAACCUGUUGGAGAUGACUUGGUUGUGAUAGUAAUAUAGUUUGAAUUGGUUGUUAA